UAUUUUGACUAUACGAAGGUAUUGAAAUAAGAUUUUAAAUGAGUGCUAAGAGAAUGAUUAAACAAUUAAAAGCUUUCUUUAAUUGAAUAAUUGAAUUUAAUUUUUUAGUGCAAAAGCAAAAAUAAAAAUUAGGGACAAGAAGACCCUAUGAAUUUUUUAUUAAAUUUUAUAAAACUUUAUAUAAAAUUUAAUUUAAUUGGGGUGAUGGAAAAAGAAUAAAUAUCUUUUUUUUAAAAAAAAUUGGUUCCGUUUUUAGCGAUUAAAUGAAAAAAAUA
rnacentral:rRNA from 1 species